rnacentral:rRNA from 1 species
UUGGAGGGCAAGUCUGGUGCCAGCAGCCGCGGUAAUUCCAGCUCCAAUAGCGUAUAUUAAAGUUGUUGCAGUUAAAAAGCUCGUAGUUGAACUUCGGGAUCAAUGGAUUGGUCAUGCCGAUGGUAUGUACUGGUCAUAUUGGUUCUCACCUUCUAAGGAACCAUAAUGUCAUUUAUUUGAUGUUGUGGGGAAUUAGGACUGUUACCUUGAAAAAAUUAGAGUGUUUAAAGCAGGCUAACGCUUGAAUACAUUAGCAUGGAAUAAUGAAAUAGGACAUCGCAUUCUAUUUUGUUGGUUUCUAGGAUCGAUGUAAUGAUUAAUAGGGAUAGUUGGGGGCAUUAGUAUUCAAUUGUCAGAGGUGAAAUUCUUGGAUUUAUUGAAGACUAACUACUGCGAAAGCAUUUGCCAAGGAUGUUUUCAUUAAUCAAGAACGAAAGUUAGGGGAUCGAAGACGAUCAGAUACCGUCGUAGUCUUAACCAUAAACUAUGCCGACUAGGGAUCGGACGAAGUUAAUUUUAUAAUGACGCGUUCGGCGCCUUACGGGAAAC